rfam:Drosophila persimilis strain MSH-3 cont1.009640, whole genome shotgun sequence.
CCCAUCGCUCGCUGUAAAUUGUAAUGGCCAAAGCUUUUUUGUUGGUAGCAGCUUGGUGUUACUUCUUACAGUGAGUGUGGAG